UUGGGUUCGAUUCUGGGGAGGGAGCUUUAAAGAUAGCUACCACAUCUAAGGAAGGCAGCAGGCACGCAAAUUACCCAAUUGUCGAUGACAGAGGUAGUAAUAAUAAAUAACAAUACAGGACUCGUCCGAGGCCUUGUAAUUGGAAUGUUUUUAAGAUAAAGACAUGAAGGAGGAACUAUUAGAGGGCAAGUCUGGUGCCAGCAGCCGCGGUAAUUCCAGCUCUAAUAGCGUAUUUUAAUGUUGUUGCGGUUGAAAAGCUCGUAGUUGGAUAUCAUUGAUUGUAUAAGUUCAAUGUGAAUUGUUCUUAUACAGGAGAGGGAAGUCAAGCGGUGAAAAUAAACUUGAAUGUUUAUAUCCACAUAACGCCUGGCUUAAGUUACUUUGAAUAUAUCAAAGUGCUCAAUACAAGCUUUUGCUUGAAUAUAUGUGCAUGGGAUAACGCAAGAAGAUCAAUAUCGAAUCUGUUGGUUGAAUCGAUAUGGGUAAUGAUUAAUAGAGAUUGACGGGGGCAUUUAUUUGAAAGCGAGAGGUGAAAUUCUGUGACCUUUCAAAGACAUGCUAAAGCGAAAGCACUUGCCAAGAAUGUUUUCACUAAUCAAGAACGAAAGUUAGAGGCUCGAAGGCGAUUAGAUACCGCCCUAGUUCUAACCAUAAACAAUGCCAACUAACAAUCUUGUGUAGUUUAAGUUGAAACUAACAAGGAAGUUUUCGGAAAACCAAAGUUUUUGGGUUCCGGGGGUAGUAUGGUUGCAAAGCUGAAACUUAAAGUAAUUGACGGAGUGGCACCACCAGGAGUGGAGCCUGUGGCUUAAUUUGACUCAACACGGGGAAGCUCACCAGGGCAAGACACUAUUAGGAUUGACAGAUUGAUAGCUCUUUCUCGAUAAAGUGGGUGGUGGUGCAUGGCCGUUCUUAGUUGGUGGAGUGAUUUGUCUGGUUAAUUCCGAUAACGAACGAGACUCUGACCAAUUACUAGUGAAAUCUUUUGAAAAGAAAGUUACCGCAGUAAUGCAGUUUCAUUCGAGAUUUUACUUCUUAAGGGGACACGCUAUUGUGAAUAGCACGAGGAAGAGCAAUAACAGGUCUGUGAUGCCCUUAGAUGUUCUGGGCUGCACACGCGCUACAAUAAAUUAAUCAACAAGUUCUCCGUUUUGACAGAUGCGGGCAAACUUUUGAAAUUAAUUUAUGGUAGGAAUGGGAACUUGCAAUUAUUUUCCCUGAACUAGGAAUUCCU
rnacentral:rRNA from 1 species